rnacentral:rRNA from 1 species
AUUGAACGCUGGCGGCAUGCUUUACACAUGCAAGUCGAACGGCAGCGCGGGCUUCGGCCUGGCGGCGAGUGGCGAACGGGUGAGUAAUGCAUCGGAACGUGCCCAGUAGUGGGGGAUAGCCCGGCGAAAGCCGGAUUAAUACCGCAUACGACCUGAGGGUGAAAGCGGGGGACCGAAAGGCCUCGCGCUAUUGGAGCGGCCGAUGUCGGAUUAGCUAGUUGGUUGGGUAAAGGCUUACCAAGGCGACGAUCCGUAGCUGGUCUUAGAGGACGACCAGCCACACUGGGACUGAGACACGGCCCAGACUCCUACGGGAGGCAGCAGUGGGGAAUUUUGGACAAUGGGGGCAACCCUGAUCCAGCCAUGCCGCGUGCGGGAAGAAGGCCUUCGGGUUGUAAACCGCUUUUGUUCGGGAAGAAAUCCUCUGGGCUAAUACCCCGGGGGGAUGACGGUACCGGAAGAAUAAGCACCGGCUAACUACGUG